GAUGAACGCUGGCGGCGUGCCUAAUACAUGCAAGUCGAGCGAACAGACGAGGAGCUUGCUCCUCUGACGUUAGCGGCGGACGGGUGAGUAACACGUGGAUAACCUACCUAUAAGACUGGGAUAACUUCGGGAAACCGGAGCUAAUACCGGAUAAUAUAUUUAACCGCAUGGUUCAAUAGUGAAAGACGGUUUUGCUGUCCCUUAUAGAUGGAUCCGCGCCGCAUUAGCUAGUUGGUAAGGUAACGGCUUACCAAGGCAACGAUGCGUAGCCGACCUGAGAGGGUGAUCGGCCACACUGGAACUGAGACACGGUCCAGACUCCUACGGGAGGCAGCAGUAGAGAAUCUUCCGCAAUGGGCGAAAGCCUGACGGAGCAACGCCGCGUGAGUGAUGAAGGUCUUCGGAUCGUAAAACUCUGUUAUUAGGGAAGAACAAAUGUGUAAGUAACUAUGCACGUCUUGACGGUACCGAAUCAGAAAGCCACGGCUAACUACGUG
rnacentral:rRNA from 1 species